rnacentral:rRNA from 1 species
GAUGAACGCUGGCGGCGUGCCUAAUACAUGCAAGUCGAGCGAACAGACGAGGAGCUUGCUCCUCUGACGUUAGCGGCGGACGGGUGAGUAACACGUGGAUAACCUACCUAUAAGACUGGGAUAACUUCGGGAAACCGGAGCUAAUACCGGAUAAUAUAUUGAACCGCAUGGUUCAAUAGUGAAAGACGGUUUUGCUGUCACUUAUAGAUGGAUCCGCGCCGCAUUAGCUAGUUGGUAAGGUAACGGCUUACCAAGGCAACGAUGCGUAGCCGACCUGAGAGGGUGAUCGGCCACACUGGAACUGAGACACGGUCCAGACUCCUGAGGGAGGCAGCAGUAGGGAAUCUUCCGCAAUGGGCGAAAGCCUGACGGAGCAACGCCGCGUGAGUGAUGAAGGUCUUCGGAUCGUAAAACUCUGUUAUUAGGGAAAAACAAAUGUGUAAGUAACUAUGCCCGUAUUGACGGUACCUAAUCAGAAAGCAACGGCUAACUACGUG